GUGGGGAAUAUUGCACAAUGGGCGGAAGCCUGAUGCAGCAACGCCGCGUGCGGGAUGACGGCCUUCGGGUUGUAAACCGCUUUCAGCAGGGACGAAGCGCAAGUGACGGUACCUGCAGAAGAAGCACCGGCUAACUACGUGCCAGCAGCCGCGGUGAUACGUAGGGUGCGAGCGUUGUCCGGAUUUAUUGGGCGUAAAGAGCUUGUAGGCGGUUGGUUGCGUCGAAAGUGCAAACUCAGGGCUUAACUCUGAGCCUGCUUUCGAUACGGGCUGACUGGAGGAAGGUAGGGGAGAAUGGAAUUCCCGGUGGAGCGGUGGAAUGCGCAGAUAUCGGGAGGAACACCAGUGGCGAAGGCGGUUCUCUGGACCUUUCCUGACGCUGAGAAGCGAAAGCGUGGGGAGCAAACAGGAUUAGAAACCCCUGUAGUCC
rnacentral:rRNA from 1 species